CAUAGGUUAAUGAGGCGAACCGGGGGAACUGAAACAUCUAAGUACCCCGAGGAAAAGAAAUCAACCGAGAUUCCCCCAGUAGCGGCGAGCGAACGGGGAGCAGCCCAGAGCCUGAAUCAGUGUGUGUGUUAGUGGAAGCGUCUGGAAAGGCGCGCGAUACAGGGUGACAGCCCCGUACACAAAAAUGCACAUACUGUGAGCUCGAUGAGUAGGGCGGGACACGUGGUAUCCUGUCUGAAUAUGGGGGGACCAUCCUCCAAGGCUAAAUACUCCUGACUGACCGAUAGUGAACCAGUACCGUGAGGGAAAGGCGAAAAGAACCCCGGCGAGGGGAGUGAAAAAGAACCUGAAACCGUGUACGUACAAGCAGUGGGAGCACGCUUAGGCGUGUGACUGCGUACCUUUUGUAUAAUGGGUCAGCGACUUAUAUUCUGUAGCAAGGUUAACCGAAUAGGGGAGCCGAAGGGAAACCGAGUCUUAACUGGGCGUUAAGUUGCAGGGUAUAGACCCGAAACCCGGUGAUCUAGCCAUGGGCAGGUUGAAGGUUGGGUAACACUAACUGGAGGACCGAACCGACUAAUGUUGAAAAAUUAGCGGAUGACUUGUGGCUGGGGGUGAAAGGCCAAUCAAACCGGGAGAUAGCUGGUUCUCCCCGAAAGCUAUUUAGGUAGCGCCUCGUGAAUUCAUCUCCGGGGGUAGAGCACUGUUUCGGCAAGGGGGUCAUCCCGACUUACCAACCCGAUGCAAACUGCGAAUACCGGAGAAUGUUAUCACGGGAGACACACGGCGGGUGCUAACGUCCGUCGUGAAGAGGGAAACAACCCAGACCGCCAGCUAAGGUCCCAAAGUCAUGGUUAAGUGGGAAACGAUGUGGGAAGGCCCAGACAGCCAGGAUGUUGGCUUAGAAGCAGCCAUCAUUUAAAGAAAGCGUAAUAGCUCACUGGUCGAGUCGGCCUGCGCGGAAGAUGUAACGGGGCUAAACCAUGCACCGAAGCUGCGGCAGCGACGCUGAUGCGUUGUUGGGUAGGGGAGCGUUCUGUAAGCCUGUGAAGGUGUGCUGUGAGGCAUGCU
rnacentral:rRNA from 1 species